rnacentral:rRNA from 1 species
UACGAAGGGGGCUAGCGUUGCUCGGAAUUACUGGGCGUAAAGCGUGCGUAGGUGGUUUGGUAAGUCUGUUGUGAAAGCCCCGGGCUCAACCUGGGAAUGGCAAUGGAUACUGGCAGGCUAGAGUGCGGUAGAGGGUAGUGGAAUUCCCGGUGUAGCGGUGAAAUGCGUAGAGAUCGGGAGGAACACCAGUGGCGAAGGCGGCUACCUGGACCAGCACUGACACUGAGGCACGAAAGCGUGGGGAGCAAACAGG